rnacentral:rRNA from 1 species
GAUGAACGCUGGCGGCGUGCCUAAUACAUGCAAGUCGAGCGAACAGACGAGGAGCUUGCUCCUCUGACGUUAGCGGCGGACGGGUGAGUAACACGUGGAUAACCUACCUAUAAGACUGGGAUAACUUCGGGAAACCGGAGCUAAUACCGGAUAAUAUAUUGAACCGCAUGGUUCAAUAGUGAAAGACGGUUUUGCUGUCACUUAUAGAUGGAUCCGCGCCGCAUUAGCUAGUUGGUAAGGUAACGGCUUACCAAGGCAACGAUGCGUAGCCGACCUGAGAGGGCGAUCGGCCACACUGGAACUGAGACACGGUCCAGACUCCUACGGGAGGCAGCAGUAGGGAAUCUUCCGCAAUGGGCGAAAGCCUGACGGAGCAACGCCGCGUGAGUGAUGAAGGUCUUCGGAUCGUAAAACUCUGUUAUUAGGGAAGAACAAAUGUGUAAGUAACUGUGCACGUCUUGACCGUACCUAAUCAGAAAGCCACGGCUAACUACGUG